AAGAAUCAAGAACAUUAUUUAGGUGACACUCCAGAGAUGAACUCUGCUCCAGCCUUGGUGACUGUGGUACUCUUAAUGCUUGGGCAAACUUAUGGAGAUUCAGUGACCCAGAUGGAAGGCCAAGUGACCCUCUCAGAAGAGGCUUCCCUGACUAUAAACUGCACUUAUUCAGCCACAGGGUACCCCACUCUUUUCUGGUAUGUUCAAUAUCCUGGAGAAGGUCCGCAGGUCCUCCUCAGAGCCAUGACACCCAACAAGAAGGAAACCAACAAAGGUUUUGAAGCCACAUACAAUAAAGAAAGCGCCUCCUUCCACUUGGAGAAAGCCUCAGUCCUAGAGUCAGACUCAGCUAUGUACUACUGUGCUAUGAGUGACACAGUGACAGGAACUGCAGGGGGAGCUGAGCAAAAACUCUGA